CAGUAGCCGCGGGAAUACGUAGGUGGCAAGCGUUGUCCGGAAUUAUUGGGCGUAAAGGGCUCGCAGGCGGUUUCUUAAGUCUGAUGUGAAAGCCCCCGGCUCAACCGGGGAGGGUCAUUGGAAACUGGGAAACUUGAGUGCAGAAGAGGAGAGAGGAAUUCCACGUGUAGCGGUGAAAUGCGUAGAGAUGUGGAGGAACACCAGUGGCGAAGGCGACUCUCUGGUCUGUAACUGACGCUGAGGAGCGAAAGCGUGGGGAGCGAACAGGAUUAGAUACCCGAGUAGUCCCUGUCUCUUAUAC
rnacentral:rRNA from 1 species